AAAAAACAUGGCUCCUUGAGACUUAAUUAUAGGGAGUCGGACCUGCCCAGUGAAUUUUCAACGGCCGCGGUACUCUGACCGUGCAAAGGUAGCAUAAUCAUUUGCCUUAUAAUUGAAGGCUAGUAUGAAUGGUUUGACAAGAAUGAAGCUGUCUCUUUAUAAUUUAAUAGAAUUUUAUUUUCGGGUGAAGAAGCCCGAAUGAAAUUAAAAGACAAGAAGACCCUAUCGAGCUUCAAAAAAAUUAAUAGAAUUAAGAUUAAUGUUUAUAAAAAAUUAUCUAUUAAAUACUUUAGUUGGGGCGACUGAGGAACAUAGAAAGCUUCCUUUACUAAGAAAAUUCAAACUAGAAUUGAUCCAAAAUUUUUUGAUUAAAGAAAUUAGUUACCGUAGGGAUAACAGCAUUAUCUUUUUUAAGAGCUCAUAUCGAAAAAAAGGUUUGUGACCUCGAUGUUGGACCAGAAUAUCCUAAAGGUGCAGCAGUCUUUAAGGGUUGGUCUGUUCGACCAUUAAAAUUCUACGUGA
rnacentral:rRNA from 1 species